UCUUCCCUACGGGGGGCAGCAGUGAGGAAUAUUGGUCAAUGGGAGAGAUCCUGAGCCAGCCAAGCCGCGUGAGGGAAGACGGCCCUAUGGGUUGUAAACCUCUUUUGUCGGAGAACAAAACCCGGGACGUGUCCCGGACUGCGUGUAUCCGAAGAAAAAGCAUCGGCUAACUCCGUGCCAGCAGCCGCGGUAAUACGGAGGAUGCGAGCGUUAUCCGGCUUUAUUGGGUUUAAAGGGUGCGUAGUCGGUCUGUUAAGUCAGCGGUACAAUUGCGGGGCUCAACCCCGUCGAGC
rnacentral:rRNA from 1 species